rnacentral:lncRNA from 1 species
CGGGGUUCCCCUCGGCUCCCGGCUGCCCUUUCCCCUCCGGCCUCUGCCGGUGCUGCUGCGCCCUGCGGAGCUCCGAACACGUGCGCGGAGUCCCAUAGAGCCUGACUCCGAGAGCCUCGAUCUCCCAGGGCCAGAGGCAGGGACUUUGGAAGGUUUGUGAGGAACAAAUGUCCGGUGGAACUGAGUCAGCCCCUUUAACCCGAGCCUUGAAAGGGGCAGGCUAUUUUUAGAUCUGUUUUUAGACCCAGCGAACAAUGAACCCUCUCUACUCAUUUUCCUGUUCCUCUAAAUUAUUUGGAGGAAGUCAGGAGUGAAAUUUGGGGAUGGCUGGAAAAAGAGAGGCUGGCUGUGGCAGAUGCAACUGCAGGAUGACUUGAAAGUAGGGCAUCCUUCACCCAUCUGAAGGGAGGAAAUAGUGGCAGGUGACAGUCUGCAUGUGCAGUUUUCAGAUGCCUUCACCUGAAUGACAUCUACCUCCAUCAGGACCCCAGAUGUCUGACAGCCCUGUGUGACACCAAGAUAAGUAACAAUCUGGCUGCUGACUACCCUAUUGGACAACUCCAAUAUUAGAGAACAUUUCCACCAAUUCAGAAAGUUUAUUAUGCACUGCUGUUCUAGAGCAGGGAUCAGCAAACUUGCUGUAAAGAGCCAGGAUCCCGUUGAAGAUACCACAUUACACUUAGGCUCCUGUUGGCCAUGACAGCUUCUUAGACUUGUUUUUAAUGACCUUGACAGUUUUGUUUUUUUGUUUGUUUGUUUUUGAGACGGAGUCUCUGUCAUCCAGGCUGGAGUGCAAUGUAAUGGCUCAAUCUCAGCUCACUGCAACCUCUGCCUCCCGGGUUCAAGUGAUUCUCCUGCCUCAGCCUCCCCAGUAGCUGGGAUUACAGGCAUGAGCCACCGUGCCCGGCUGCCUCCUAAAUUCUCAAAACAUUCCAUUUUUAUUCUGUGGUCUUACUUUAUUCUGUCAUGUAGAGAAUAGUGGUUGAGCCUGUUGUCUUUUGAGAGUGGAUGCUGUAGUCCUUACAUGGCUGACUUUCAGCCCGUAAGCUUAUAGUAGAGGAUGGGGAUUUUGUUAUCAGCUGCUAAAAGGGAGAAGC